rnacentral:rRNA from 1 species
UACGGAGGGGGCUAGCGUUGUUCGGAAUUACUGGGCGUAAAGCGCACGUAGGCGGCUUUGUAAGUUAGAGGUGAAAGCUCAGGGCUUAACCCUGGAAUUGCCUUUAAGACUGCAUCGCUAGAAUUGUGGAGAGGUAAGUGGAAUUCCGAGUGUAGAGGUGAAAUUCGUAGAUAUUCGGAAGAACACCAGUGGCGAAGGCGACUUACUGGACACAUAUUGACGCUGAGGUGCGAAAGCGUGGGGAGCAAACAGG